GCCCAAAAAACCGGAACAUAUCGGCCCGCAGGCCUCAUGAAUCCUCAAUUCUUCACGGGACUCAAAAUCCCCCGCCGCAAGGCGUGCCGGUUCGAUUCCGGCCCCGGGCACCA
rnacentral:tRNA from 1 species